GGGGGUUGGAGGAGGCUGAGAAGCAGCUGAGGUCCUGUGCAGACACAGCCGGGGCGUCUGAGGAUUCGUGGCUGUGUCGUUAGUUGCUAGAUGUGUUUGAACCCCGUCUAUCACACUCACAGCUUGCUGUAAGCAUUUCCUCCAGAAGGUUCUUCUCCACUGCCGACUGGUUCCAAGCACACUUGGCAUCUGUGUGAUGCUAUUGCUGCUGAAUUCCUCUGCUUGUUUUGUCAGGCUGCUUCGAGGCUGCUGUAAAAUGUGUCCGACAUCCUUGCUUGAGAAGCACUCAGAAGCAUUCACACGGGGUUAGUCCUGCUCUUCAGACCAGGGAUUAAAGGCAGCAAAAUACAUUGCCUCUUCUCAUGAGUAUAAAUAAAGAAGACAUCACAAACCUAUAAAAAGAGGUAGACAGUCAUGAAAGUAAAAAUACGCAAGAAUUAUUAGCAAUGUCUACAAGCCUCAAGCUGCAUGUCCUUGGGCCUCGUCUCCGUGCAUUCACAAGAACCACGUCUCGUUUUGAUGGCCUUGAAAAAUAACACUGUUCUUUCAGUAGAUUUUCUUGUAGAAAUAGCCCAGGAGAUUAGAUAACAUACUGCUUUACAAAACGUCCUGAAUAUGGUCUCCUGAUAUUUCAGUCUCUCCAGGGUUCCACUUCUUGCCUCUGUCCACAGAGACCCCGCGAUGCAUGUUGCUGUCCAUCCACUCCCCCUUCUCUGCCCGCAGACCCCUGCUCUGCUCCUCGUACCCGCAGCGCGUGACCCUCCGCAGAGUGCAGCCCCCUCAAAAGUGCUUUCAGUUCCUUUCUGAUUGCUUAUCAUGAAAAGAACGGAUCUUCUCACAUUCAGGUGAAUAAAAUUCCCCUUUCUGUUAAAUAUCAUGAUGCAGAAUAUGACUGAUGACAUAAAGAGGAAAAUAGACCUAUAGGGCUAUGAAAUUCACUGUGGAAAAGUCACUCUGGGUUGAACUGUUGAAGGAAGACUGUGGAGGAGGAGAGACUCUGAUCGCCCAGAGAACGAGGCUGAAGACACGGCUGAGACAGCGGAGGGUGGCAUUCUAGCCGGGAUGAGUCUGUGAGCCACAUCACGUGAGUCAGGAAUGAGCGCGGAGAUGUGCAGACCAUUAAUUCUGACAGAUCGGAGAUCUUGAGAAAGGAGGUCCUGGGGGACGACACAGAAGGGUCAGCUGUAAAUCUGGACGCUUACAGUUCAACCCUUAGGUCAGAAGCAGGCACUGGGGGGGCAGGGUUUGUUGCGAAGUGACACAAGGGAGACAAUGUGGUGGAGGAAGUGAGUCGGGGCACAGAAACAAAAGCGGGUAGUUCAGGCAGACGUGAAAUAAUGAAAGCUAGCUGGGAGUGAGGAUGGAAGUAGGAAAGAAACAGUUUCUGUCUUUUUAUUCUUUCCACACUGAUGGUUUCACAAGAAAUCAUUCAGCAGGCUCAGAUGAUAAGCACAGUAUCAACACUAGUUAUUUAAAAUCAUUCAUUCUUAUAAGGUCCCAAGUAAUAAAGGACAAACUGGUCUACUUUUUCCUUUUUGGUGUUCUCUUCCUACCCAAGAGAGAAACAACAGACAGAGAACUCUUUGAUGAUUAAAUGUGUGUAUACUUUACAUUUUCAGGGGUUUUUGAUACAGAAAAGUGCAUGAAACUUUGAGGCAGACGUUGAUCUAAGCCACUUUUUUCAAUACAAAAUCAUUU
rnacentral:lncRNA from 1 species